rnacentral:lncRNA from 1 species
UAUUUUAGAAUAAAAUAUGGAGUGGGGUUAGAUGUGCUUUUAGUUUAAAGAAAGUGACGAUGAUGCGUUGAAUCAACUUUCAUAUUUUUUGUAUCUCCCAUUUUUGGAAAAAGAACAAUCAAUCUUUCUUUCGACUUAUUUAUCAGUACGGUUGAUAAAUACGGGAGUGGAAGUUUUAUCAUGUCUUCUACUAUUAUACAUUCUUGCUAAAUUAAAUGAAUGGUUGUUUGAGUACAUAUACCUCAAUAAGAAUGU